rnacentral:rRNA from 1 species
GAUCGGCCCGCGUCUGAUUAGCUUGUUGGUGGGGUACCCGCCUACCAAGGCGACGAUCAGUAGCUGGUCUGAGAGGAUGAUCAGCCACACUGGGACUGAGACACGGCCCAGACUCCUACGGGAGGCAGCAGUGGGGAAUAUUGGACAAUGGGCGCAAGCCUGAUCCAGCCAUGCCGCGUGAGUGAUGAAGGCCUUAGGGUUGUAAAGCUCUUUUGUCCGGGACGAUAAUGACGGUACCGGAAGAAUAAGCCCCGGCUAACUUCGUGCCAGCAGCCGCGGUAAUACGAAGGGGGCUAGCGUUGCUCGGAAUCACUGGGCGUAAAGGGCGCGUAGGCGGCCGAUUAAGUCGGGGGUGAAAGCCUGUGGCUCAACCACAGAAUUGCCUUCGAUACUGGUUGGCUUGAGACCGGAAGAGGACAGCGGAACUGCGAGUGUAGAGGUGAAAUUCGUAGAUAUUCGCAAGAACACCAGUGGCGAAGGCGGCUGUCUGGUCCGGUUCUGACGCUGAGGCGCGAAAGCGUGGGGAGCGAACAGGAUUAGAUACCCUGGUAGUCCACGCC